GGCAAAGAAACGCCUGAUAUAGAAUAUUUAAAGUUAGUAAUAUAUUUGUACAGCCUCUACUUGAGGACUCUGACUGAGAAGCUACGCCAGACCUCAAAUGCAAGAGGAGUGUGAGAUUCCAUAGAUGAAGGUUGCCUGCAGUCAGGUAUGAUGGCCCGAGGCCUCCGGUUAAAUCCCCAGCCCAGACGUCUGCACAGCCCUAGUCUGCCUCAUCGGGAGUCCUGCAUUGAUUGCUGCUUUAGUCCCCCCUCAUUGUUAAUGGGAACCCUGCAUUGUGAGGGGGCCACUUGCAUUGUGAAGGGCCUCUUGUAAUGUUGUCUUGCUGAGUGCUGGAGAAUUGGCUGUGUAGGCACCGACCUGCCAGCGGCUCCUGUGAGGUCUUGUUGACCUGCUGAAUGGAGCCACCUGAGAGUCAAUCAGGGCACCGAAAUACCUCAA